CAUCUAGGCGGCCAACUAAGUCUGAUGUUAAAAUGCGGGGCUCAACCCCGUAUUGCGUUGGAAACUGGUUGGCUAGAGUACUGGAGAGGUGGGCGGAACUACAAGUGUAGAGGUGAAAUUCGUAGAUAUUUGUAGGAAUGCCGAUAGGGAAGCCAGCCCACUGGACAGAUACUGACGCUGAAGUGCGGAAGCGUGGGGAGCAAACA
rnacentral:rRNA from 1 species